rnacentral:tRNA from 1 species
GGCCCGUUGGUCAAGUGGUUAAGACACCGCCCUUUCACGGCAGUAACAGGGGUUCAACUCCCCUACGGGUCACCA